rnacentral:rRNA from 1 species
GUGCCAAGCAGCCGCGGUAAUUCCAGCUCCAAUAGCGUAUAUUAAAGUUGUUGCGGUAAAAAAGCUCGUAGUUGGAUUUCUGUUGAGGGCGUCCGGUCCGUACCACGUACGCGUAUCUGGGUCGCGCUCGGCAUCCUCUCGAAGAACGGUUCUCGCGCUUGAUUGCGUGGUCCGGGUUUCGGGACUUUUACUUUGAGGAAAUUAGAGUGUUCACGGCAGGCAAUUGCCCGGAUACAUUAGCAUGGAAUAAUACUAUAGGAUUUUGGUUCUAUUUUGUUGGUUUCUAGGACUAAAAUAAUGAUUAAUAGGGACAAUUGGGGGCAUUCGUAUCAACACGCUAGAGGUGAAAUUCUUGGAUUGUGUUGCGACGAACUACUGCGAAAGCAUUUGCCAAGGAUGUUUUCAUUGAUCAAGAACGAAAGUAAGGGGAUCGAAGAUGAUUAGAUACCGUCGUAGUCUUUACCACAAACUAUGCCAACUAGAGAUGGGGCAUCGUUCAAUACGACUUGCUCCGCACCUUAUGAGAUAUCAAAGUCUUUGGGUUCCGGGGGGAGUAUGGUCGCAAGUCUGGAACUUAAAGGAAUUGACGGAAGGGCACCACCAGGAGUGGAGCCUGCGGCUUAAUUUGACUCAACACGGGGAAACUCACCAGGUCCAGACAUAAUAAGGAUUGACAGAUUGAUAGCUCUUUCUUGAUUUUAUGGGUGGUGGUGCAUGGCCGUUCUUAGUUCGUGGAGUGAUUUGUCUGCUUAAUUGCGUUAACGAACGAGACCUUAACCUGCUAAAUAGGAGCGUCUAUCUUCGGAUAAGCGCCUUUCUUCUUAGAGGGACUUUGUGCGUUUCAGCAUGAGGAAGUUUGAGGCUAAAACAGGUCUGUGAUGCCCA